GGGGUGGGGGGGGGGCGGAAAUGCAGUCGAGCGCGAAUGGAGCAAUCCUAGUAAAACGGCGCACGGGUGCGUAACAAGUGGGUAAUCUGCCUGGGUGUCUGGGAUAACCAUUCGAAAAACUGGCUAAUACCGGAUUUGACCACGGCCCUCCUCCGCGGCCCUCAGAAAAGACCGCCUCUCCUACACCCAACCUUUAACCUCACACCCAGAUCAGCCCGCCACCCAUCACCUCACCUGGCGGGGCAAUGGCCCACCAAGGCAACGUACCCCGGGUACAUGGUCUGAAACGGAUCGAUCAACCACACCGAAACCGAAACACGGUCCAGACUCCUACGGGACGCAGCACGUGGGGAAUUUUGCGCAAUGGGCGAAAGCCUGACGCAGGCAACGCCGCGCGCGUGAUGAAGGUCUUCGGACCGUAAAGCACUUUCGAACGGGACCAAGACCCUCCGGCUAACAUCCAGGGCCUUGACGCUACCGCGAGAAGAAGCACCGGCUAACUCCGUGACAGCAGCCGCGGUAAUACAGAGGGUGCAAGAGUUGUUCGGAAUUAUUGCGGCGUAAAGCGCGUGUAGGCGGCUUUACAAGUCGGGUGUGAAAGCCCUCAGCUCAACUGAGGAAGUGCGCCCGAAACUGCAGAGACUUGAGUGACAGAGAGGGUGGCGGAAUUCCCCAAGUAGAGGUGAAAUUCGUACAUAUGGGGAGGAACACCGGUGGCGAAAGCGGCCACCUGGACGGUAACUGACGCUGAGACGCGAAAGCGUGGGGAGCAAACAGGAGUAGAUACCCUGGUAGUCCACGCCGUAAACGAUGAGAACGAGGUGUCGUGGGAUGUGGACCCCCGCGGGGACGGAGCUAACGCAUUAAGUUCUCCGCCUGGGAAGUGAAGGUCGCAAGAAUAAAGACUCAAAGGAAGUGACGGGGGCCCGCACAAGCGGUGCGAGCAAGGUGUGAGUGUAAUUCGACGCAACGCGCAGAACCUGACCUGGUCUUGACAGCCGCGGAACCUGGCAGAGAUGAGAGGGUGCCCGCAAGGGAACCGAGAGACAGGUGCUGCAUGGCUGUCGUCAGCUCGUGUCGUGAGAUGUUGGGUUAAGUCCCGCAACGAGCGCAACCCUCGCCUUUAGUUGCCACGCAAGUGGAUCUCUAGAGGGACAGCCGGUGUUAAACCGGAGGAAGGUGGGGAUGACGUCAAGUCCUCAUGGCCUUUAUGACCAGGGCUACACACGUGCUACAAUGGCCGGUACAACGCGUCGCCAACCCGCGAGUGGGAGAUAAUCGCAUAAAACCGGUCUCAGUUCAGAUAGGAGUGUGCAACUAGACUCCAUGAAGGCGGAAUCGGUAGUAAUCGCGGAUCAGCAAGCCGCGGUGAAUACGUUCCCGGGCCUUGUACACCCCGCCCGUCACACCAUGGGAGUCGAUUGGUCCAGAAGUCAUCCCACCAAGGGGUGCCCAAGGAGGGUCGUAACUGGGUACUCCCUCCUCCCCCUCCCU
rnacentral:rRNA from 1 species